rnacentral:tRNA from 1 species
CGGGGCGUAGCGCAGUUGGUAGCGCGCGUGCUUUGGGAGCAUGAGGUCGCAGGUUCGAAUCCUGUCGCCCCGACCA